rnacentral:rRNA from 1 species
AACGAACGCUGGCGGCGCGCCUAAUACAUGCAAGUCGAGCGAGAAGACGUUGCAAUACGUUUGUAAAGCGGCGAACGGGUGAGGAAUACAUGGGUAACCUACCCUCGAGUGGGGAAUAACUAGCCGAAAGGUUAGCUAAUACCGCGUACGCUCCUUGGACUUCGGUUCAGGGAGGAAAGCGAUACCGUGGGUAUCGCGCUCUUGGAUGGGCUCAUGUCCUAUCAGCUUGUUGGUGAGGAACGGCUCACCAAGGCUUCGACGGGUAGCUGGUCUGAGAGGACGAUCAGCCACACUGGCACUGCGACACGGGCCAGACUCCUACGGGAGGCAGCAGUAAGGAAUAUUGCGCAAUGGGCGAAAGCCUGACGCAGCGACGCCGCGUGGGGGAUGAAGGUCUUCGGAUU